GCUAGGAGAAGAAAGAAAGAAGGAAAAAAAAAAAAGAAAGAAAGAGAAUCAUUGGGGUUAUUCAUCCAACCUUGCUUGCAACCAACCAAGGGAACUUUGUUGGAGAGUUGGAGCUCAAGGAUACAUCUCCUCAAGUGAUUGGCGUUAAAAGUAAUCUCUUGAGACAAAUUACCAGAAGACCCUUCAUCUCAGGACGUGCCCAAGCCAGAAAAGGCAGACGUUGCCGAAAAGCCGGACCCACAAUCUCUAGCAGUAGGACCAACUAAUGAAUUGGGUCCACAUGAGCCCGGAGCAUAGGAUUAAAGCCCCAAAAGAGGAAGCUUUGCUCCAGACGUUUCUUUCUUUUCUCCUGACGGCGCACUACAAAAAGAAGAUUUACACGCGGAUUGGGAGAGUUUUUCUCUGGGAGUUUCUUUCCUGUUCACGAGGACAUUAGCUUUAGUUUUCUUUUUCUCCUUUUUGUCAGACGUCUUUCUUCGCUUUUGUUUUUUCUUCGGCAGCAAAUUAGAGAGUGAGAUUUAUGUCAAAUCGAAACGGUAGCUUUUAGUUUUUUUUUUCCAGGCGCUAGACGUCUUUCGCCCUUUUGACUUUUAACUCAUUGCUGGACAAUUUCUUCGUGGCU